rnacentral:rRNA from 1 species
UACAGAGGUCCCAAGCGUUGUUCGGAUUCAUUGGGCGUAAAGGGUGCGUAGGCGGUCUGCUAAGUUUGAUGUGAAAUCCCGGGGCUCAACCCUGGAAUUGCAUUGAAUACUGGUGGACUAGAGUACUGGAGAGGAAACUGGAAUUUACGGUGUAGCAGUGAAAUGCGUAGAGAUCGUAAGGAAGACCAGUGGCGAAGGCGAGUUUCUGGACAGUAACUGACGCUGAGGCACGAAGGCCAGGGGAGCAAACGGG